AAGCUUUUUAAAGGCUUUAAAGGGUCCCUCACCAGACCACAUAGCAAAUUUUGGUUACACGCUGGAAGUCGUUACGUGUCCUCUAGGGAGCAUUCUAUGGCAAGAAUUU
rnacentral:lncRNA from 1 species